rnacentral:lncRNA from 1 species
CGGCCUUUAAAAGCACCUUCCUGCGCACGACGGGGAGACACCGGGAGACCAGGCGCCCCGACCCAUCGGCUGGUCUUGAGGAGAAGCAGGACCGCCCCAGACUGUCGCCGCGGCCGGCAGGGCCGGGCGCUCCGCGGGGAAUCUGGGCCGCGGUGCCCUGUGCCCCACUCCGGCAGGACUGGGCUUCCCCGGCUCUUCGAGGGAAGACCGCACAGAGAAGACCCUGGGC